GUAUUUAUGGUAUGGACAUUGCAAUAAAACUGAUUUGAACUGAUCUCAUGCUUCAUGAAAAGAUUUAAUAUUCUUUGAUAAAAAUUAGAAAUUUAAUCUCUUAAUUC
rfam:Ricinus communis cultivar Hale ctg_1100012358062, whole genome shotgun sequence.